UACGUAGGGGGCGAGCGUUGUCCGGAUUUAUUGGGCGUAAAGCGCAUGCAGGCGGUCCUGUAAGUUUGGAGUGACAGUUUCCGGCUCAACCGGGGAAGUGCUUUGAAAACUGCGGGACUUGAGGGCUUCAGAGGGACACGGAAUUCCGGGUGGAGUGGUGAAAUGCGUAGAUAUCCGGAGGAACACCGAAGGCGAAGGCAGUGUCCUGGGGAGCACCUGACGCUCAGAUGCGAAAGCCAGGGGAGCGAACGGG
rnacentral:rRNA from 1 species